rnacentral:rRNA from 1 species
UACGUAGGGGGCAAGCGUUAUCCGGAUUUACUGGGUGUAAAGGGAGCGUAGGCGGCGAUGCAAGCCAGAUGUGAAAGCCCGGGGCUCAACCCCGGGACUGCAUUUGGAACUGUGUGGCUGGAGUGUCGGAGAGGCAGGCGGAAUUCCUAGUGUAGCGGUGAAAUGCGUAGAUAUUAGGAGGAACACCAGUGGCGAAGGCGGCCUGCUGGACGAUGACUGACGUUGAGGCUCGAAAGCGUGGGGAGCAAACAGG